rnacentral:rRNA from 1 species
CGGGUGAGUAACACGUGAGUAACCUGCCCCGAACUCUGGGAUAAGCGCUGGAAACGGCGUCUAAUACUGGAUAUGUCCUAUCACCGCAUGGUGUGUAGGUGGAAAGAAUUUUGGUUCGGGAUGGACUCGCGGCCUAUCAGCUAGAUGGUGAGGUAAUGGCUCACCAUGGCGACGACGGGUAGCCGGCCUGAGAGGGUGACCGGCCACACUGGGACUGAGACACGGCCCAGACUCCUACGGGAGGCAGCAGUGGGGAAUAUUGCACAAUGGGCGCAAGCCUGAUGCAGCAACGCCGCGUGAGGGAUGACGGCCUUCGGGUUGUAAACCUCUUUUAGUAGGGAAGAAGCGAAAGUGACGGUACCUGCAGAAAAAGCACCGGCUAACUACGUGCCAGCAGCCGCGGUAAUACGUAGGGUGCAAGCGUUGUCCGGAAUUAUUGGGCGUAAAGAGCUCGUAGGCGGCUUGUCGCGUCUGCUGUGAAAACCAGAGGCUCAACCUCUGGCCUGCAGUGGGUACGGGCAAGCUAGAGUGCGGUAGGGGAGAUUGGAAUUCCUGGUGUAGCGGUGGAAUGCGCAGAUAUCAGGAGGAACACCGAUGGCGAAGGCAGAUCUCUGGGCCGUAACUGACGCUGAGGAGCGAAAGCAUGGGGAGCGAACAGGAUUAGAUACCCUGGUAGUCCAUGCCGUAAACG